rnacentral:rRNA from 1 species
GAACGCUGGCGGCAGGCCUAACACAUGCAAGUCGAACGGUAACAGGAAGAAGCUUGCUCUUGCUGACGAGUGGCGGACGGGUGAGUAAUGUCUGGGAAACUGCCUGAUGGAGGGGGAUAACUACUGGAAACGGUAGCUAAUACCGCAUAACGUCGCAAGACCAAAGAGGGGGACCUUCGGGCCUCUUGCCAUCGGAUGUGCCCAGAUGGGAUUAGCUAGUAGGUGGGGUAACGGCUCACCUAGGCGACGAUCCCUGGCUGGUCUGAGAGGAUGACCAGCCACACUGGAACUGAGACACGGUCCAGACUCCUACGGGAGGCAGCAGUGGGGAAUAUUGCACAAUGGGCGCAAGCCUGAUGCAGCCAUGCCGCCGUGUAUGAAGAAGGCCUUCGGGUUGUAAAGUACUUUCAGCGGGGAGGAAGGGAGUAAAGUUAAUACCUUUGCUCAUUGACGUUACCCGCAGAAGAAGCACCGGCUAACUCCGUGCCAGCCGCUGC